rnacentral:rRNA from 1 species
AGCGAACGUUUGCGGCGGGCCUAACACAUGCAAGUCGAACGCACUAGCAAUAGUGAGUGGCGCACGGGUGCGUAACACGUGGGUAAUCAACCCUUCAGCUUGGGAUAACGACUUGAAAGGGUCGCUAAUACCGGAUACGGCGCGGGAGGCUUCGGCUUCUCACGAGAAAGCCUCGCAAGGGGCACUGAAGGACGAGCCUGCGGCCCAUCAGCUAGUUGGUGAGGUAAGAGCUCACCAAGGCGAAGACGGGUAGCUGGUCUGAGAGGAUGAUCAGCCACACUGGAACUGAGACACGGUCCAGACUCCUACGGGAGGCAGCAGUGGGGAAUAUUGGACAAUGGGCGCAAGCCUGAUCCAGCCACGCCGCGUGGGUGAUGAAGGCCUCGGUUGUAAGACCUCGUCGGGAGGGACGGAAGUCGUUCGGAUUGACGGUACCGUUCCAACGAAAGACACCGGCGUAACUACCGUGCCAGCAGCCGCGGU